UGUAAAUUGGUGUCAAGCACGUGAAAUUUUGAGUUUCAAAGAAAAAGUUACAA
rnacentral:tRNA from 1 species